AGGGUUUGAUUAUGGCUCAGGAUGAACGCUAGCGGCAGGCUUAACACAUGCAAGUCGAGGGGUAACAUUGUAGCUUGCUACAGAUGACGACCGGCGCACGGGUGCGUAACGCGUAUAGAACCUACCUUUUACAGAGGGAUAGCCUUUAGAAAUGAAGAUUAAUACCUUAUAGUAUUGAGACUUGGCAUCGAGUUUUAAUUAAAGAUUUAUCGGUAAAAGAUGGCUAUGCGUCCUAUUAGUUAGUUGGUAAGGUAACGGCUUACCAAGACUUCGAUAGGUAGGGGCCCUGAGAGGGGGAUCCCCCACACUGGUACUGAGACACGGACCAGACUCCUACGGGAGGCAGCAGUGAGGAAUAUUGGGCAAUGGAGGCAACUCUGACCCAGCCAUGCCGCGUGCAGGAAGACUGCCCUAUGGGUUGUAAACUGCUUUUAUACAGGAAGAAACACUGCUACGUGUAGCAGCUUGACGGUACUGUAAGAAUAAGGACCGGCUAACUCCGUGCCAGCAGCCGCGGUAAUACGGAGGGUCCGAGCGUUAUCCGGAAUCAUUGGGUUUAAAGGGUCCGCAGGCGGUCAAUUAAGUCAGAGGUGAAAUACCAUAGCUCAACUAUGGAACUGCCUUUGAUACUGGUUGACUUGAGUCAUAUGGAAGUAGAUAGAAUGUGUAGUGUAGCGGUGAAAUGCAUAGAUAUUACACAGAAUACCGAUUGCGAAGGCAGUCUACUACGUAUGUACUGACGCUGAGGGACGAAAGCGUGGGGAGCGAACAGGAUUAGAUACCCUGGUAGUCCACGCCGUAAACGAUGGAUACUAGUUGUUGGGCAUUAGCUCAGUGACUAAGCGAAAGUGAUAAGUAUCCCACCUGGGGAGUACGGUCGCAAGACUGAAACUCAAAUGAAUUGACGG
rnacentral:rRNA from 1 species